rnacentral:SRP_RNA from 1 species
GCCAGGUGUCGUGGCGGGCGCCUGUAAUCCCAGCUACUCAGGAGGCUGAGGCGGGAGAAUUGCUUGAACCCAGGAGACAGAGGCUGCAGUGAGCCGAGAUUGCGCCAUUGCACUCCAGCCUGGGCGACAGAGCAAGACUCUGUCUCAA